rnacentral:rRNA from 1 species
GGAAGUAAAAGUCGUAACAAGGUCUCCGUUGGUGAACCAGCGGAGGGAUCAUUACAGAGUUAUCCAACUCCCAAACCCAUGUGAACAUAUCUCUUUGUUGCCUCGGCGCAAGCUACCCGGGACCUCGCGCCCCGGGCGGCCCGCCGGCGGACAAACCAAACUCUGUUAUCUUCGUUGAUUAUCUGAGUGUCUUAUUUAAUAAGUCAAAACUUUCAACAACGGAUCUCUUGGUUCUGGCAUCGAUGAAGAACGCAGCGAAAUGCGAUAAGUAAUGUGAAUUGCAGAAUUCAGUGAAUCAUCGAAUCUUUGAACGCACAUUGCGCCCAUUAGUAUUCUAGUGGGCAUGCCUGUUCGAGCGUCAUUUCAACCCCUAAGCACAGCUUAUUGUUGGGCGUCUACGUCUGUAGUGCCUCAAAGACAUUGGCGGAGCGGCAGCAGUCCUCUGAGCGUAGUAAUUCUUUAUCUCGCUUCUGUUAGGCGCUGCCCCCCCGGCCGUAAAACCCCCAAUUUUUUCUGGUUGACCUCGGAUCAGGUAGGAAUACCCGCUGAACUUAAGCAUAUCAAUAAGCGGAGGA